ACAAAUUCCAACACUCGUGUUUGACCAAGAGAGAGAGGGAAAGUGAGUGUCACGCACACUCUCUCUCGCUCGCUCUUGGUCAGCUAUAACACAAAAAAUACAAACAUUCAUACUUGACAUCCAAUGGAGAACCAUAUACAAUUGGUAAAAAUUGAAAUACAAA
rnacentral:misc_RNA from 1 species